rnacentral:rRNA from 1 species
GAUGAACGCUGGCGGCGUGCCUAAUACAUGCAAGUCGAGCGAACGGACGAGAAGCUUGCUUCUCUGAUGUUAGCGGCGGACGGGUGAGUAACACGUGGAUAACCUACCUAUAAGACUGGGAUAACUUCGGGAAACCGGAGCUAAUACCGGAUAAUAUUUUGAACCGCAUGGUUCAAAAGUGAAAGACGGUCUUGCGGUCACUUAUAGAUGGAUCCGCGCUGCAUUAGCUAGUUGGUAAGGUAACGGCUUACCAAGGCAACGAUGCAUAGCCGACCUGAGAGGCUGAUCGGCCACACUGGAACUGAGCCACGCUCCAGACUACUACGGGAGGCAGCAGUAGGGAACCUUCCGCAAUAGGCGAAAGCCUGACGGAGCAACGCCGCGUGAGUGAUGACGGUCUUCGGAUCGUAAAACUCUGUUAUUAGGGAAGAACAUAUGUGUAAGUAACUGUGCACAUCUUGACGGUACCUAAUCAGAAAGCCACGGCUAACUACGUG